GCCAUGCAUCCUGUUGUCUUCACAGUUAUUGUCACUUAAGUUACUUACGUGUCGCGGCGCCAAAGGCGACCCCCGUCCAGCCAUUUUCUGUUAUUCUAGAAAAAAAAUAAAGAUUCGCAUGGUUCCAUGAAAACAAGCACAAGUUGCUAGCAACGGGAUCUCUCCCAAUAUUCUAAAGGUUGGUAUGAAUGGGUUGUCGUCAUGGCGCUACACAGGAAUAAGGGUGUGUUUGGUUCUGAGCCAAAGUUAGCCCCACCAAAAAUUGGUGCACCAAUUCUAUAUGACUGGUUUGGUUGGAUGCUCAAAACUUGGAUAGCCCAGCCGAGUCUGUAAGCAUGCAGUUAAAUUUUUCACUGAUCCCCAAGGCGGACUGAGGGUGGCUGACUUCUACGCCAAAAAGUUGGUCACACCCAAGAUUUGGUAUGGCUUUGUGGCUUAUACCAAAUAGGCCCUAAGAGCCAACAACGAGGAGAGGAGGUAGAGGUAUUAUGAAUGGCUACUAUGGUGGUGUGGUGCUGGUAGGAGCUUGUGCUUUGUAGAAUAUCACAGAUUAAUGUUGGAACCCUACUAGGCAGUGCUUUCCCAUGGAUGGCAGCAGUAGCGGUGGAAUGGGGGAGUUCAAUGCGUUCUAUAAGAUGUGUAGUUGCUGAAAUGAAGAUCGGUGUGGCAUCAGUUUCUUCGUAUCUUUCCCUGCAAAUUCCAGACGCAAUAAUGGUUCGGGCAAAAAUAUGAUUCCGUUGUAUGAGUUGAAUAGAAACUUGCAGCAGAAAGUGUAUUGACCAUCUUGGAAGUAUAU